rnacentral:rRNA from 1 species
CAGCCGCCGCGGUAAUACGGAGGGUGCAAGCGUUAAUCGGAAUUACUGGGCGUAAAGCGUGCGUAGGCGGCUAAUUGAGUCGGAUGUGAAAUCCCCGAGCUUAACUUGGGAAUUGCAUUCGAUACUGGUUAGCUAGAGUGUGGGAGAGGAUGGUAGAAUUCCAGGUGUAGCGGUGAAAUGCGUAGAGAUCUGGAGGAAUACCGAUGGCGAAGGCAGCCAUCUGGCCUAACACUGACGCUGAGGUACGAAAGCAUGGGGAGCAAACAGGAUUAGAUACCCCAGUAGUCCCUGUCUCUUAUAC